GGGGAGGCAGAACAUCAUGGUGAAAAGGUGUGGAGGAGGAAAGCAGCUCUGGACAUGGCAGAAUCACCUUUACAGUCCCCAAAAGGUCAGGAAGCAGAGAGAUAACUCCCUGUACCAUGGAGAAAAUAUAAACCUCAAAGGCACGUGCCCCCCUCCCCCCAUGAUCCAUUUCCUCCAGCCACACCCUACCUGCCUAGAGUUACCACCCAAUUAAUCCCUAUCAGCAGAUUAUUGCACUGAUUAGGUCAAGACUCUCACAACCCAAUCAUUUCCCCUCUAAAUGGUCUUGCAUUGUCUCACACAGGAGCUUUUGGAGGACACCGCAUAGCCAAGCCAUAACACUCCCCCAAGCAUCACUCUGUGGAUAUGCAUGCAGAGCCAUGCCACUCUGGCUUGCCAGGGAAAUUCUAGCAACAGGUCCUUUUCAGCAUCACUAGUGUCAUUCAUUCACAAGACAAUAUGGGGGCCCCUUCAAGGGCAGAGGUCCUGCAAACUCUCGGGGAUCCACAUGGUGAAGAGUUUCUGAGAGUCUCACAGUUUGGAAGAGGGUGAAGCUGUGAGCUCACUGACUUCUCCCAAAGACCUCUGUGGAGUAGGAUUCAGGACCCGUGUUUGACAGAGGAGGACUAUGACGGCUUGGUAGGUUAAUGUGCCUGAGAGCACCCAGGAUGGGAAGGACCCACACUUCACACUCUGAGCUUUUUGAUUUGUAGGCUCAAAGGUAAAGCCUGGGGCAAGGGCUGCUUGGUGCAGCCAAACCUGGAGGAGACUGAGGCAUUUGGAGGAGAUGAUUUUUUUUUACAUUGAUUUUAUUUUUUUAAAUACACGAC
rnacentral:lncRNA from 1 species